rnacentral:rRNA from 1 species
UAGGGAAUCUUCGGCAAUGGACGAAAGUCUGACCGAGCAACGCCGCGUGAGUGAUGAGGGUUUUCGGAUCGUAAAACUCUGUUGGUAGAGAAGAACGUUGGUGAGAGUGGAAAGCUCAUCAAGUGACGGUAACUACCCAGAAAGGGACGGCUAACUACGUGCCAC